AAGGAAUAGCAGAAAGGAGGAAAAGCUUCUAACUUAUUUCUCAGGCAGUUCAACUCUG
rnacentral:tRNA from 1 species